rnacentral:rRNA from 1 species
ACGAAGGGGGCUAGCGUUGCUCGGAAUGACUGGGCGUAAAGGGCGCGCAGGCGGCUUAUACAGUCAGAUGUGAAAUUCCUGGGCUUAACCUGGGGGCUGCAUUUGAUACGUAUGAGCUAGAGUGUGAAAGAGGGUUGUGGAACUCCAAGUGUAGAGGUGAAAUUCGUAGAUAUUUGGAAGAACACCGGUGGCGAAGGCGGCAACCUGGUUCACAACUGACGCUGAGGCGCGAAAGCGUGGGUAGCAAACAGG